AACGAACGCUGGCGGCAUGCCUAACACAUGCAAGUCGAACGAGACCUUCGGGUCUAGUGGCGCACGGGUGCGUAACGCGUGGGAACCUGCCCUUAGGUUCGGAAUAACUCCCCGAAAGGGGUGCUAAUACCGGAUAAUGUCUUCGGACCAAAGAUUUAUCGCCUUUGGAUGGGCCCGCGUUGGAUUAGCUAGUUGGUAGGGUAAAAGCCUACCAAGGCGACGAUCCAUAGCUGGUCUGAGAGGAUGAUCAGCCACACUGGGACUGAGACACGGCCCAGACUCCUACGGGAGGCGGCAGUAGUGAAUAUUGAACAGUGGGCGAAAGCCUGAUCCAGCAAUGCCGCGUGAGUGAUGAAGGCCUUAGGGUUGUAAAGCUCUUUUACCCGGGAUGAUAAUGACAGUACCGGGAGAAUAAGCUCCGGCUAACUCCGUG
rnacentral:rRNA from 1 species